rnacentral:rRNA from 1 species
UACAGAGGGUGCAAGCGUUGCUCGGAAUCAUUGGGCGUAAAGGGCAAGUAGGUGGUCUCAUUUGUCUAGGGUGAAAUCCUUGAGCUUAACUCAAGAAGUGCCCUAGAAACGGUGGGACUAGAGUUCUGGAGAGGGUCGUGGAAUUCCCGGUGUAGCGGUGAAAUGCGUAGAGAUCGGGAGGAACACCAGAGGCGAAGGCGGCGACCUGGGCUAACACUGACGCUCAUGCACGAAAGCGUGGGGAGCAAACAGG